rnacentral:tRNA from 1 species
AAAGUUUUAAGUUAAAAUAAACUAUUAACCUUCAAAGUUAAAAAUAUAUUGUUUAUAUAAGCUUUA